rnacentral:rRNA from 1 species
UGGGGAAUAUUGGACAAUGGGCGAAAGCCUGAUCCAGCCAUGCCGCGUGUGUGAAGAAGGUCUUCGGAUUGUAAAGCACUUUAAGUUGGGAGGAAGGGCAGUAAAUUAAUACUUUGCUGUUUUGACGUUACCGACAGAAUAAGCACCGGCUAACUCUGUGCCAGCAGCCGCGGUAAUACAGAGGGUGCAAGCGUUAAUCGGAAUUACUGGGCGUAAAGCGCGCGUAGGUGGUUCGUUAAGUUGGAUGUGAAAUCCCCGGGCUCAACCUGGGAUCUGCAUUCAAAACUGACGAGCUAGAGUAUGGUAGAGGGUGGUGGAAUUUCCUGUGUAGCGGUGAAAUGCGUAGAUAUAGGAAGGAACACCAGUGGCGAAGGCGACCACCUGGACUGAUACUGACACUGAGGUGCGAAAAGCGUGGGGGAGCAAAA